CUCGUCGAAAGUCUUCCAUUCUUCAAACUAGAUUAUUUAAAAAUGAAAAAGGAAGAAAGGAAAGCGAGGUCAUCUCAUUGCUCUAUCCGCCAAUCAGGAGGCUGAAUGUCAGUUUUGAACUAAAAGCCGCUCCGCUCCUCUUCUAGAUUUGGAAAACAAGCGAAAUUAAACUAAACCGCUGCACGCCUCUGACGCGACAUCUGGACACGGCGCGGCGCUGGCGCUGCCGGAGCUGUCGACCCGGCCUGGCGCCGGACUAGUGUCCCUUUUGAUGAGAAGAAUAAGCCUCAUUCUGAUUCAACAGCAGAGAUCAAAGAAAAGACUUCUGUUUUCUGGCCACCAGAUAUAUGUUAUCUGUGCUUAAAGAAUUGAAAAACACACAUCAAAGGAGAAUUUUCUUGGAAAGAGAGGGUUCAAGCAUCACUGUUAGGUGUGCUGGAAUCCUUUCCCGAGUCAGUACUGCUUUCUAGAAGAAAACCGGGGAGAUCUAUUUGGAAUGUAUCUAACUCCAAAGAAACCAUCAGAGGUAACAGAUUGGCUUCUCUCACAUGGCAAGAAACAUUGCUGCUAGCACUUCCCGAGUUCUACGUUCUACAACAUCCACCACUGCUAUGUCUCACAGUCCAGACUUGGAGUACAAGUAAUAAGAAGAAUAAAACUUAAUCCCUUAAGUAGAUUCACCAUAAGUUAGCUCAGAGCAAUUCCAGUGCAAGUAUGGUCUGUGAUCCAGUAGUAUCUUACAGACAGCAAGUUGAACAUUGUGGGAUGCAUGAGCUAUUGAGGCCUUUGCAGCUUUCUGCUACAUGGAGGCUAGGGCCAGAGUCAAGAUUUAUGCUUUGCAGCACACUGGUCAGCUGUUUUUGCAAAUCAGAUUAAAUGAUUUUUAAAUGAGGCUGAGAGCAUGGGAGAUACUAAUGUGUGUUUCCUUGUGAGCUACUGCAUAAGUUAGGAAAUUGAAAUACAGAAAGAUGAAAAGUGAUUUGCCCAAGCAUAUAGAUCAAAGCUGUGGCAGA
rnacentral:lncRNA from 1 species